rnacentral:rRNA from 1 species
UACGGAGGGGGCUAGCGUUGUUCGGAAUUACUGGGCGUAAAGCGCACGUAGGCGGCUUUGUAAGUUAGAGGUGAAAGCCCGGGGCUCAACUCCGGAAUUGCCUUUAAGACUGCAUCGCUAGAAUUGUGGAGAGGUAAGUGGAAUUCCGAGUGUAGAGGUGAAAUUCGUAGAUAUUCGGAAGAACACCAGUGGCGAAGGCGACUUAACUGGACACA